GAUGAUCUACUUCUUAGAUGGUAAAAUGAGAAUCGUGUUUCAACCAGAAAAACAAAAGUUGCGUGAAAUACAUAAAUUGAACGGAUGAGAUUUUGCCUGAUAUGACAACAAUUAUCCCUUUUUUCCCAUGUCAUGCUCUGAAUUACCGAUGAUCUACUUUUCAGAUGGUAAAAUGACAACCAUGUUUCAACCAGGAAAACAGGAGUUGUGUGAAAUACAUACAUAAAUUGAAUGGAUGAGAUUCUGCCUGAUAUGACAACGAUUGUCUUGGAAUCACUUUUACGUGGACAGCUAACAACUAUGGUGAGACGAGUGUGGAUCACAAGCAAAGUUUGAUUCAAAAAACAAAAACAGAAAAACAUUGAACAUCGGUGUUAAUAUUUUUUGAGAAGGUAUUUCUGUAUUCUUGUAGUAUACUUCCUCUGUCCAAUAAUAAUAUAUUGUUGAAAAUAUUUUAUAUUAUGGGACGGAGCGACAUCAAAGAAAUGAGCGUUUGGAUGCAAAAAAGGAAGUUCCGAAGUACAAAUUGGCUACACAGAAGCGCUGCCAACACGUCCGUACGGCUGUGAAUACCUGGUUUAUGAGCCGUUCAUUUACUGGAUCGGACAGCUGCUACUCAUUCGUCUGUGUAUACUUUUCUAGGGUUAAGCAGCACUCCACAAGAUGAGCAUAUACGUGCACAAGCACAUUCAUGUAGGUGGUGCCAUAGAAAAUUACUACGAUAUUCUAGCACCAGGUUGCUUCUAGUAUUUUGUAGCCCGCCAAUAGUGGUGAAUUAUUUCUUGCUCUCGCAAGCUGCGGCAGAUCUAGUCCCUCCAGGCUCUAUUUUGUAGCCCAUAUAGACCAGCCCAUGGGCUCUUCUCCCUUCUGCUUGUUCGGUUUUGUGUUGAGGAAUCUCAGUUCCUUUGCUAUGACUAGCACUUUAAGUUAGUUUUUUUGUAGUGGCGCUUAGAUGAAAGUCAGUGUCUCACAUUCGAGCUGAUCUUUUGGGCUUUGAUCUUUCUUGAGUUUGUCCAUGCAUGAAUUGGGCAGAGCUUCAAUGUAGAUUAUUGUCAUCGCAAGAGGCGACAAAUACAAGCAUUGGAGUGAGCACGUCACCUUGUCAUCGCCCUCCCUUACAGAGCUGAGCAAACCUUGUUUUAUUAGAGAUCUGCUUGUUCUAAGGCCCAAUGAACCAGUGCACCAGAAUAACAACUGGCAUCGAUGAAGAAAAAUGUAGAUCGGAAUGAUCAAAUAUGUAGACACAUAACCGAAGGUGAAC
rnacentral:lncRNA from 1 species